AGAGCGAACGCUGGCGGCGUGCUUAACACAUGCAAGUCGAACGCUCGUAGCAAUACGGGAGUGGCAGACGGGUGAGUAACGCGUGGGAACAUACCCUCCGGUUCGGAAUAGCUCAGGGAAACUUGGAUUAAUACCGGAUACGGCUGAGAGGCGAAAGAUUUAUCGCCGGAGGAUUGGCCCGCGUUCGAUUAGCUUGUUGGUGAGGUAACGGCUCACCAAGGCGAUGAUCGAUAGCUGGUCUGAGAGGAUGAUCAGCCACAUUGGGACUGAGACACGGCCCAAACUCCUACGGGAGGCAGCAGUGGGGAAUAUUGGACAAUGGGCGCAAGCCUGAUCCAGCCAUGCCGCGUGAGUGAUGACGGCCUUAGGGUUGUAAAGCUCUUUCGCUCGGGACGAUAAUGACGGUACCGAGAUAAGAAGCCCGGCUAACUUCGUGCCAGCAGCCGC
rnacentral:rRNA from 1 species